UAAGAAUAUAUAUAAGUAUAAUAGAGAGCAGUUCAUAAAAAUGUGCACAAGGAUUGAAAUUCACCUGAGCUGUUUAUGUAUUUAUAUAAAAUAGAAAAAUAGACAAUCAUUGUUUUGAAUAUUACUCCUAUUUUUGUAAACUGGAAUUAAAAGGAUAGUAUUUUUAUCCACGACAGGCCUGAAGAUUUUAAUACUGAUCAUUUGUUACUGUACGUAAACAAUGACGCCCCGCUUCAGGGAGAUUCUGAGGAAAUAAUUUGAGAGAAGUGCUGUAUGACAUUCUCCCCCGAAAGCAUGUCUGUCUGUUUCCUAUCAAUUUUUGGAACAUACUGAAUAAUCUCUAUAAACAAAAGAACCUUCACCCAACAACCAGAUCAAGCAACAACACGCAAACCAGACAAACUCCCAGAUUUCAGGCACAAAUUCUUUUGAAAAAAUAAAAAAUAAAAAGAAGAACAAGAAAAGAUUAAACAUUAGCUUGUAAAGUUUAAAGGACCUUUCCUUUUCCGUUACGGAUUUGAUCAGUACGAAGUCAUAAAUCAAAGAAAACAGAAUUGAAUUUGCAUUCCCAGGCGGGAUGGAUGCUGCCAGGAGAUCACAUUGCAAACAGUGAAAGCACAGAGGCAUUCGAUCUAUGCCUGAGUCCUGUGUACGGGAUCAAUCUUUCUUUAAUUCUGCUGUCUCCUCAGGCAAUGUGACCCGGGACACAGUUUGCAGCUGUAGUGCCUUUCUUCGCCUUUUAAAUCGCCACGAAUCACAGAUGGCUAUUUAGUGGCCCUACAAUGCUGCAACACAUCGGCUUGCAUUUUAGUCUUAAUUAUUUGUUUCUUGGACAAUGGGCAGAAUUUUCUGUAUUUGUGUCAGCUGUUAGUGGUGAAAUAGGGCUCUAGUUAACCUUUCAUUUAUGAAGUCUAAUUUAGUGUUUCCGUGGCUAGUUGCAAGCAUUUACAGUGAUCAUCCAGUUUAAUCUUUUGUAUACUUUUUAGAAAUGCCAAGAGCCUUACUAAGCAGACUUAUGAUAUAGUGAUAAUUUAGGUAGAUGUUAGUCUUAAAGCUCUUAUUUUGUGUGCAAAUGAUUAUAAAAACAUCAUAACCAAGUAUUAUUACACACAUGAUAUCUAUAACUAGGACUUUGAUAACUGUUAUAUGAAGUGUGUAAAAUUUGUAUGAAUAAAUUUUUGUAAACAAUG